rnacentral:rRNA from 1 species
CAGCCGCCGCGGUAACACGAAGGGUGCAAGCGUUAAUCGGAAUUACUGGGCGUAAAGCGCGCGUAGGCGGUUACUCAAGUCAGAGGUGAAAGCCCGGGGCUCAACCCCGGAACUGCCUUUGAAACUAGGUGACUAGAAUCUUGGAGAGGUCAGUGGAAUUCCGAGUGUAGAGGUGAAAUUCGUAGAUAUUCGGAAGAACACCAGUGGCGAAGGCGACUGACUGGACAAGUAUUGACGCUGAGGUGCGAAAGCGUGGGGAGCAAACAGGAUUAGAUACCCCCGUAGUCCCUGUCUCUUAUAA